AAUCCCCUGCGGUGUUCGUGAGAGACGCGUUCCUCCUGAGCCGAUACUUCUAGAACCCAGGAACCCUGCCCUGAUCGUGGAGUGCAAGCCCGGACGUGAUCGGGAUUGCCAGAAGCGGUUAAUUCAGGAAUCCACUUUAUAAAUGGGUUCAGAGGAAGCCAAAUCCACGGCACAGGCGGGGGAUUU
rnacentral:other from 1 species